rnacentral:rRNA from 1 species
CCUACGGGGGGCAGCAGUCGAGAAUCAUUCACAAUGGGGGAAACCCUGAUGGUGCGACGCCGCGUGGGGGAAUGAAGGUCUUCGGAUUGUAAACCCCUGUCAUGUGGGAGCAAAUUAAAAAGAUAGUACCACAAGAGGAAGAGACGGCUAACUCUGUGCCAGCAGCCGCGGUAAUACAGAGGUCUCAAGCGUUGUUCGGAAUCACUGGGCGUAAAGCGUGCGUAGGCUGUUUCGUAAGUCGUGUGAGAAAGGCGAGGGCUCAACCCGCGGAUGGCACAUGAUACUGCGAGACUAGAGUAAUGGAGGGGGAACCGGAAUUCGCGGUGUAGCAGUGAAAUGCGUAGAUAUCGAGAGGAACACUCGUGGCGAAGGCGGGUUCCUGGACAUUAACUGACGCUGAGGCACGAAGGCCAGGGGAGCGAAAGGGAUUAGAUACCCCUGUAGUC